rnacentral:misc_RNA from 1 species
AACGCACAUUGCGCCCCUUGGUAUUCCGAGGGGCAUGCCUGUUCGAGCGUCAUUUCACCACUCAAGCCUCGCUUGGCAUUGGGCGCCGCGGUGUUCCGCGCGCCUCAAAGUCUCCGGCUGAGCUGUCCGUCUCUAAGCGUUGUGAUUUCAUUAAUCGCUUCGGAGCGCGGGCGGUCGCGGCCGUUAAAUCUUUCACAAGGUUGACCUCGGAUCAGGUAGGGAUACCCGCUGAACUUAA